rnacentral:rRNA from 1 species
AGGACGAACGCUGGCGGCGCGCCUAACACAUGCAAGUCGAACGAGCGAGAGAGAGCUUGCUUUCUCAAGCGAGUGGCGAACGGGUGAGUAACGCGUGAGGAACCUGCCUCAAAGAGGGGGACAACAGUUGGAAACGACUGCUAAUACCGCAUAAGCCCACAGCUCGGCAUCGAGCAGAGGGAAAAGGAGCAAUCCGCUUUGAGAUGGCCUCGCGUCCGAUUAGCCAGUUGCGGGGUAACGGCCCACCAAAGCGACGAUCAGUAGCCGGCCUGAGAGGGUGAACGGCCACAUUGGGACUGAGACACGGCCCAAACUCCUACGGGAGGCAGCAGUGGGGAAUAUUGCACAAUGGGGGAAACCCUGAUGCAGCGACGCCGCGUGAGUGAAGAAGUAUUUCGGUAUGUAAAGCUCUAUCAGCAGGGAAGAAAGUGACGGUACCUGAAUAAGAAGCCCCGGCUAACUACGUG